CCAAUAGCGUAUAUUAAAGUUGUUGCAGUUAAAAAGCUCGUAGUUGAAUUUCGGGACCAAUCUGCCGGUCGUGCCUCCGGUACGCACUGGUUUUAUUGGUUUCUCCCUUCUGACGAACCAUGAUGUCAUUAAUUUGGUGUCAUGGGGAAUCAGGACUGUUACUUUGUAAAAAUUAGAGUGUUUAUAGCAGGCUCACGCUUGAAUACAUUAGCAUGGAAUAAUGAAAUAGGACGUUUGACCCUAUUUUGUUGGUUUCUAGGAUCGACGUAAUGAUUAAUAGGGAUAGUUGGGGGCAUUAGUAUUCAAUUGUCAGAGGUGAAAUUCUUGGAUUUAUUGAAGACUAACUACUGCGAAAGCAUUUGCCAAGGAUGUUUUCAUUAAUCAAGAACGAAAGUUAGGGGAUCGAAGACGAUCAGAUACCGUCGUAGUCUUAACCAUAAACUAUGCCGACUAGGGAUCGGAUGAUGUUAAUUUUUUAAUGACUCAUUCGGCGCCUUACG
rnacentral:misc_RNA from 1 species